UGGGGAAUAUUGGACAAUGGGGCAACCCUGAUCCAGCAAUGCCGCGUGUGUGAAGAAGGUCUUCGGAUUGUAAAGCACUUUCGACGGGGACGAUGAUGACGGUACCCGUAGAAGAAGCCCCGGCUAACUUCGUGCCAGCAGCCGCGGUAAUACGAAGGGGGCUAGCGUUGCUCGGAAUGACUGGGCGUAAAGGGCGUGUAGGCGGUUUACACAGUCAGAUGUGAAA
rnacentral:rRNA from 1 species